rnacentral:lncRNA from 1 species
AACUGUAGUAUCCAAUCAGGACAAUGUCUACAAACCCGAAUUUAUCGCCACCAAAGUAAGGUUUAUCUCCUAGCUCACAUUGAAGUGUCUUGAGUAUUUCAAUAUACUCCUUUGUGGCUGCUUCAAGCUCCUCACCUUUGGUUGCCCAAGUCUUUCUCCCACAAACAAACAACUGAUCAUUGUGACACAAGGAAUAUACGCACACAUGAGUUACAAGCAAAACCCUAGAAUUUGAUCUGAAAUCUUUCAAUUGCAAAUUUAAUACUAUAAUAGGGCUAUAUUAUAUACCGUUAAGAAUUUCACUUUAUAAGAGAGAUAAAAUUCACUUUUUAUAUACCAAUUGAUUUGUAGUUGCAAAUCCAUAUAACUUAACAAUGAAUAAGGAUCUCACAAAAAAUUUAGAGCCAAAGGACACUAAAAUUUAUAGACAGUACUUGUUGUUACCUUCUUUUCGAUGAAAUCGGCCCAAAAUAAGGCUUGAGCUCUUUGGUAGGAAUCCGUAGGGAGGAAUGGGUUCUUGUCGGACCAGACUUCGUCUAUGUAUUGGAUUUGGAUGAUGGAUUCACAAACCGGUUUACCAUUGUGGAUGAGUACCGGGAUCUUUUUGUGAAUCGGAUUCAUCUCUAGAAGCAAGGGACUCUUGUUAUUGAUCACAUCCUCUUCUCUAUACUCAUAGUUCACUCCUUUCUCCUCUAACGCGAUCAUCGUUCUCAUUCCGAACAUGCUCGGCCAGAAAUUCAGAAGGAUCACUUCCUCUGCCAUUGUUGCGAUCCGUGAAGCUUUUCUUUCUUGAGUGGUCUCUUAUUAAAUGUGUAGCGUCUUUAGGCUGUUUAUAAGGGGGUAACAUGUCAUUUAUUAAAUGUUUUUGGCCAACCCUAUUAAACCGUUUUAAUAAAAUCAAAGUGUGAUAAUUUAUAAUUUCUUUAUAAUAAUGCUACUGCCUACUGGUGUAUUAAGAUAUGAGAUACUAUAUGCGGCUGGUUAGAGAAACCAUACAUAUUUUAACAGAGUAGUUUGAUACGUUACCUUUGGAAAAAACAGUAGUCUGAUAAAUCAAGGUUUUAAAAUAUUUUAUUGAUGCAUUUACAAUCUUUUUGCCGAGAGAAAAAUCACAAUUUUUGUCUAGUAGAGUAGUCAUGACAGAGAAGUUUAGCAUUUCCUAGUGAUGGUUCAAAGUUUAGUCGAAACAGAGCAUCCGAUUUUCAGAACAAGACUCCACCUAACUAAUUACAAAAUACUCUGCACUAUCAGGAACGACAAAACACAACACAACAAAGAGCUAAACAGAACAGAAAAAAUAAAAAAUAAAAAUCAAUAAUUAUAUGCGGCUGGUUAGAAUUAAUCAAAAGUAUCCUUUCAAAAAAUUGGAUCAGAGUGUAAAUCAAGGUUUACAAAUGUUUCUUUUUGGUGAUGAAUAAUACAACAUCUCCUCUUUGCUUCUUCUUAGUUCGUACAACUUAUGAAUGGUGACUACAGUAAUGCUAUACGGAUAUGAAACUCAAACUUUAACUAGUUUUUUUCUAGCAAUUGAAUGACGUGUGUAGAAUAGAAUUGUAUUGUUGAUUAAUAAAACAACAGAACACACUUGUAAAUGAUAGGGUUAAUUUGGUGGUUGAAUAGUGUGACGAAAAGAUAAUUAGAGAAAAGUUGUAGGUGAGCCACACCGUAGUGGAGUCUCCACUCAAAGCCUCAAAGUAAGGGAACUGACCAGCUUUUAUGUUAGUGAUCAGUAUGCUAUAAUCUCUUAAGAAAAAUAAAAAGAAAAAAAAAAUAAAUCCUAAUAAUAGUGAUAAUGGAUUAGAGGUGUUUUUACUUUUUAGGGGAGUUUAAGACCAUCUCCAAUGUAUUUCUUUAUUUUUAGUUUUCUAUAAUAGAGGUGAGUUUUCUCUAUUUUUACUCCAAUGUGUUCCUCUAUUUUUUUUUCUAUAAAAUUUAACUCUAUUUAUAGGGAAAAAAAUAGAGAUUCUCUAUAUCAUCCUUUAUAUAUAGAGCAAAAAAUAGAGAUCUUUAUUUUAGAGGUGGGAAUAGAGGUGGGUUGGAGUAAAUUUGCCUAUAAAAUAGAGUUUAGAGGCAAAUAUAGAGGUUGGUUGGAGAUGCUCUAAGAGAGUGCCAUGUCCUCCCAAAAUUGGUUGAGAAAUGAGAACCCAAAUUUCUUUUAAUCUUACUUUUGUAGAGCCUCUACCACUACUUCUUGCAUGAUUGUAACGUGGCCACCUCCUUUAUUGAUUGCUCUGUAUUAUAUUACUAUAUACUACUAAACAAAAGAAGUCCAACUUUUUCUUGUGUCUGUUGUUAUUCUACUAAACUACUUGGUGAAUACGACCAUCGAAACAAAUUUUAUUUAAAUUCCAUACUUAGGAUGGAUACAAACCACAACACACAGUCACUAAGGCUCUCUCGCAUUAUUAGGGGGAAGAAAAAAACAAAGAUAAAAAAACAGAACACAGCUUAGCAACAAGAGAGCAACAAGAUUACUCAGAUCAGAGAUUGUUUUUCCUAUACUCAGCAGCAUAUGCAACAAUCUUCUCAGAGUCAGGGAGAGACUUAGACACACUCUCUUUCUCCAUGCACCUCUUUGCCCAAGCGAUCAGUUUCGGACUCUCUGAUUCGAUGCUAAAGUUACCAAACUUCUCAUAGGCUUGGAACCAGCUGGAGAAUGUAAUCAAGGAAAUGUCUACAUACCCAAAGCUAUCUCCACCAAAGUAAGGUUUAUCUCCUAGCUCAGUUUCAAGAAUCUUCACUGCCUCAAUAAAUUCCUUCUUUCCUGCUUCUUGUUCCUCCCCUUUCUUCCCCCAUAUCUUGAAUUGGGCGUCGGUGAACUUAAUUCCAUUACAGAAUAUCAAAUUAUGUCAGAGGAAUCCAAAAACUCAAUUUUUAGAUCAACCCUAAAUAACAUUGUUUCAAACUCAAGUUAAGAAAUCUAGGGCACAAAAGGGAUUAGUUACCUUCUUGUCCACGAAAUCGGCCCAAAAUCGAGCCUGAGCUCUCCCGUAAGGAUCGGAAGGAAAGAACGGGUUCU